rnacentral:rRNA from 1 species
UACAGAGGGGGCGAGCGUUGUUCGGAAUUACUGGGCGUAAAGGGCGCGUAGGCGGCCCGCUAAGUCGAACGUGAAAUCCCCAGGCUCAACCUGGGAACUGCGUCCGAUACUGGCAGGCUUGAAUCCGGGAGAGGGAUGUGGAAUUCCAGGUGUAGCGGUGAAAUGCGUAGAUAUCAGGAGGAACACCGGUGGCGAAGGCGGCUCUCUGGUCCACAACUGACGCUGAGGUGCGAAAGCUAGGGGAGCAAACGGG